AGCCCAACUCUAGCCCAACCCCUACAACCAAAUACACCUAAAAAUUUACUAAACCUCUAGACUAAAACAUUCUUGCAACCUAGUAUAGGUGAUAGAAAAGGCUUUCAGGCGCGAUAGAAACUCGUACCGUAAGGGAAAGAUGAAAUAAUAGUGAAUAACCCAAGCAGCAAACAGCAAAGAUAAACCCUUGUACCUUUUGCAUCAUGAUUUAGCAAGAAUAAUCAAGCAAAGCGAACUUAAGCUUGCCACCCCGAAACCUAAGCGAGCUACUUGCGAGCAGCUACCAUUGAGCGAACCCGUCUCUGUUGCAAAAGAGUGGGAUGACUUGCUAGUAGAGGUGAAAAGCCAAUCGAGCUAGGUGAUAGCUGGUUACCUGUGAAACGAAUCUAAGUUCCACCUUGCACUCCCCUCCAAGGACCAAAACAACCCCAAUGAGGACAACCAAGAGUAAUUUAAAGGGGGUACAGCUCCUUUAAAAAAGAGUACAACCUCUUCUAGCGGAUAACAUCUAACCCGAACAACUAGUUGUGGGCCUUCAAGCAGCCACCAAUAAAGAGUGCGUCAAAGCUCUUAACCCCUUAAAAAUUUCAAAACUACUCGAUUCCCUUCACCACCAACAGGUCAACCUAUAUCAAUAGGAGAAUUAAUGCUAAAAUGAGUAAUUCGGACAUAUCCCCUCUUAAGCGCAAACUUACAUACCCCCAUUAUUAACAGACAGCUAAUACCUUCACUCUAACGAGACUGCAUAUUUCACCCGCUGUUAACCCAACCCAGGAGCGCCUAUUAGAAAGAUUAAAAUCUGUAAAAGGAACUCGGCAAACACAAGGCCCGACUGUUUACCAAAAACAUAGCCUUCAGCCAAACAAGUAUUGAAGGUGAUGCCUGCCCAGUGACCCCAUGUUUAACGGCCGCGGUAUCCUAACCGUGCGAAGGUAGCGCAAUCAAUUGUCCCAUAAAUCGAGACUUGUAUGAAUGGCUAAACGAGGUCUUAACUGUCUCUUACAGAUAAUCAGUGAAAUUGAUCUUCCUGUGCAAAAGCAGGAAUAAGCACAUAAGACGAGAAGACCCUGUGGAACUUAAAAAUCAGCAGCCAUCCCUUAGCACAGAUCAAACCUACCAGGUCCACUGCAACAAACACUGGCUUGCAUUUUUCGGUUGGGGCGACCUUGGAGAAAAACAAAUCCUCCAAAAAUAAGACCACCCCUCUUAACCAAGAGCAACCCCUCAACGUACUAACAGUAACCAGACCCAAUAUAAUUGACCAAUGGACCAAGCUACCCCAGGGAUAACAGCGCAAUCCCCUCCAAGAGCCCAUAUCGACAAGGGGGUUUACGACCUCGAUGUUGGAUCAGGACAUCCUAAUGGUGCAGCCGCUAUUAAGGGUUCGUUUGUUCAACGAUUAACAGUCCUACGUGAUCUGAGUUCAGACCGGAGUAAUCCAGGUCGGUUUCUAUCUAUGAUUGACUUUUCCUAGUACGAAAGGAUCGGAAAAGUGGAGCCAAUACUUCAACGUACGCCCUCUCUCUAAGUAAUGACUUCAACUAAAUUACCAAGAGACCUCACACCCUAAAUCCUAGAAAAGGACC
rnacentral:rRNA from 1 species